AUUGAACGCUGGCGGCAGGCUUAACACAUGCAAGUCGAGCGGGGGAAGGUAGCUUGCUACCGGACCUAGCGGCGGACGGGUGAGUAAUGCUUAGGAAUCUGCCUAUUAGUGGGGGACAACAUCUCGAAAGGGAUGCUAAUACCGCAUACGUCCUACGGGAGAAAGCAGGGGAUCUUCGGACCUUGCGCGAAUAGAUGAGCCUAAGUCGGAUUAGCUAGUUGGUGGGGUAAAGGCAUACCAAGGCGACGAUCUGUAGCGGGUCUGAGAGGAUGAUCCGCCACACUGGGACUGAGACACGGCCCAGACUCCUACGGGAGGCAGCAGUGGGGAAUAUUGGACAAUGGGGGGAACCCUGAUCCAGCCAUGCCGCGUGUGUGAAGAAGGCCUUAUGGUUGUAAAGCACUUUAAGCGAGGAGGAGGCUACUCUAGUUAAUACCUAGGGAUAGUGGACGUUACUCGCAGAAUAAGCACCGGCUAACUCUGUGCCAGCAGCCGCGGUAA
rnacentral:rRNA from 1 species